rnacentral:rRNA from 1 species
GGGGCGGGGGCACGGGGGGCCUACGGGAGGCAGCAGUGGGGAAUUUUGGACAAUGGGCGCAAGCCUGAUCCAGCCAUGCCGCGUGCGGGAAGAAGGCCUUCGGGUUGUAAACCGCUUUUGUCAGGGAAGAAAUCCCUUGGGCUAAUACCGACGGGGUGAUGACGGUACCGAAGAUAGACCCACCCCC